rnacentral:rRNA from 1 species
UACGUAGGGAGCAAGCGUUGUUCGGAAUUACUGGGCGUAAAGGGCUCGUAGGCGGCCAACUAAGUCAGACGUGAAAUCCCUCGGCUUAACCGGGGAACUGCGUCUGAUACUGGAUGGCUCGAGUUUGGGAGAGGGAUGCGGAAUUCCAGGUGUAGCGGUGAAAUGCGUAGAUAUCUGGAGGAACACCGGUGGCGAAGGCGGCAUCCUGGACCAACACUGACGCUGAUGAGCGAAAGCCAGGGGAGCAAACGGG